rnacentral:pre_miRNA from 1 species
AACCCGUAGAUCCGAUCUUGUGGUGAAGUGUACUGCACAAGCUCGUUUCUAUGGGUCUG